rnacentral:misc_RNA from 1 species
UCGUAACAAGGUUUCCGUAGGUGAACCUGCGGAAGGAUCAUUACCGAGUGAGGGCCCUCUGGGUCCAACCUCCCACCCGUGUUUAUUUUACCUUGUUGCUUCGGCGGGCCCGCCUUAACUGGCCGCCGGGGGGCUUACGCCCCCGGGCCCGCGCCCGCCGAAGACACCCUCGAACUCUGUCUGAAGAUUGUAGUCUGAGUGAAAAUAUAAAUUAUUUAAAACUUUCAACAACGGAUCUCUUGGUUCCGGCAUCGAUGAAGAACGCAGCGAAAUGCGAUACGUAAUGUGAAUUGCAAAUUCAGUGAAUCAUCGAGUCUUUGAACGCACAUUGCGCCCCCUGGUAUUCCGGGGGGCAUGCCUGUCCGAGCGUCAUUGCUGCCCUCAAGCACGGCUUGUGUGUUGGGCCCCGUCCUCCGAUCCCGGGGGACGGGCCCGAAAGGCAGCGGCGGCACCGCGUCCGGUCCUCGAGCGUAUGGGGCUUUGUCACCCGCUCUGUAGGCCCGGCCGGCGCUUGCCGAUCAACCCAAAUUUUUAUCCAGGUUGACCUCGGAUCAGGUAGGGAUACCCGCUGAACCUAA